CAGUCGCCGCGGUAAUACAGAGGGUGCGAGCGUUAAUCGGAUUUACUGGGCGUAAAGCGUGCGUAGGCGGCUUUUUAAGUCGGAUGUGAAAUCCCUGAGCUUAACUUAGGAAUUGCAUUCGAUACUGGGAAGCUAGAGUAUGGGAGAGGAUGGUAGAAUUCCAGGUGUAGCGGUGAAAUGCGUAGAGAUCUGGAGGAAUACCGAUGGCGAAGGAAGCCAUCUGGCCUAAUACUGACGCUGAGGUACGAAAGCAUGGGGAGCAAACAGGAUUAGAUACCCUGUAGUCCCUGUCUCUUAUACA
rnacentral:rRNA from 1 species